rnacentral:misc_RNA from 1 species
AUAAAAGGUAAAAACCUGGCUUACCAUAAACGAGCCUGCCAGCAUCUGCGUGGAUACCUACGAGAAUGGAGACGGAGCUCCGGGAAUCGUAUCCAGAGGCGUGGGCAGCUACAUUUGUGGGAAAAACGUGUUAAUAGCGCACGCCAAAGCCUACAAAAUAUACAAAGACGAGUUUAAGCAGUCUCAGAGAGGUAAAGUGGGCAUUACCAUUGAUUCCAUAUGGGCUGAUGCCAAAACGCCAGAUGAUCGGGAUGCUGCGAAUAGGGAGAUGCAAAUGUCGUUCGGCUGGUUCGCCCAUCCCAUAUUCUCCGCCACUGGAGACUAUCCGGACGUCAUGAAAUCCACCAUAGCCGCCCGCAGCCGAAGCCAAAACUACUCGACGUCCAGACUACCGGAUUUUACCCCCUCGGAGUUAGAUUCCCUCAAAAGAUCCGCCGAUUUCCUCGGCCUGAACCACUACAACACCUGGAUGGCCUAUUCCAAACAUUUUCCCGUCUCCGAGGUGUCCUUCGCCGCGGACAAAGGCACCGGAUUGGUCAGGGAUCCGAAAUUGCGCGAUCCCACGUUGGCACCCGAAGGCUUUAGGAAGUUGCUGAACUGGAUCAAGGAAGAGUACGGGAACCCGUUGGUUUACGUGACGGAAAACGGCGUGGGGGAUUCCGGAGGAAGUCUUGAAGAUCAGCACCGUGUGACGUUUCUGCAGGAGUACCUGCACGCUCUGUUCCUGGCCGUGGAGCAGGACGGAUGCAACGUGCAAAGGUAUACCGUGUGGAGUAUCAUGGAUAACAUGGAGUGGACUGCUGGAUACACUGUUAAAUUUGGCCUGUACCACGUGGAUUUCAAGAGCCUCCGAAGGACAAGAACUCCGAAAAGUUCGGCUUAUUUUUUCGAAGGUUACUGUAGUGCGCUGUCCGAUGUGGAGGUUUCUCUGGUAUAGCAAUAUGGUACCACUGCAGUUAAGAAAUAUAUCCAUUAAAUCAGAAGGACACAAGCAAGAAGUAUCCAGAGUAGAUAUUGUUAUGUCAUAUAUAAUAUAUGUAUACUAUGUAGCCAGAGUACUGAAAAAUAAUUUUAAGUGGAAGAUCUUAGAAUUAAUUUACGAAUCAAGUUUUUUUUCUUGACGAAAUGGCGAAUGCGCCUAUUAAAGGAAACUUAAUACUUAGAAAUUGCCUGAAUUAUUAAGGUAGAAGUACGCUAAUUCAACUGGUUAUAGAUAAGUAUCGUAUGAUCGAAGAAAAAACGGCGUCAGCGAUGGCUAUGAAAUGAAGAUCGCUGUCAUUUUAUAUGUAGAUUUAUAUGGGAAAUAUCGAUCGCCAUUUCCCAGCCAACUGGACGACGUUU